AAGUCGAACGGAGCUUAAAGAGCUUGCUUUUUAAGCUUAGUGGCGAACGGGUGAGUAACGCGUGAGUAACCUGCCCUAGAGUGGGGGACAACAGUUGGAAACGACUGCUAAUACCGCAUAAGCCCACGGUGCCGCAUGACGCUGAGGGAAAAGGAUUUAUUCGCUUUAGGAUGGACUCGCGUCCAAUUAGCUAGUUGGUGAGGUAACGGCCCACCAAGGCGACGAUUGGUAGCCGGACUGAGAGGUUGAACGGCCACAUUGGGACUGAGACACGGCCCAGACUCCUACGGGAGGCAGCAGUGGGGGAUAUUGCACAAUGGGGGAAACCCUGAUGCAGCGACGCCGCGUGGAGGAAGAAGGUUUUCGGAUUGUAAACUCCUGUCGUUAGGGACGAUAAUGACGGUACCUAACAAGAAAGCACCGGCUAACUACGUGCCAGCAGCCGCGGUAAAACGUAGGGUGCAAGCGUUGUCCGGAAUUACUGGGUGUAAAGGGAGCGCAGGCGGGAAGACAAGUUGGAAGUGAAAACCAUGGGCUCAACCCAUGAAUUGCUUUCAAAACUGUUUUUCUUGAGUAGUGCAGAGGUAGAUGGAAUUCCCGGUGUAGCGGUGGAAUGCGUAGAUAUCGGGAGGAACACCAGUGGCGAAGGCGGUCUACUGGGCACCAACUGAC
rnacentral:rRNA from 1 species